rnacentral:rRNA from 1 species
GUCCACGCCUUAAACGAUGGAUACUAAGUGUCGGCGGGUUACCGCCGGUGCCGCAGCUAACGCAGUAAGUAUCCCGCCUGGGAAGUACGGCCGCAAGGUUGAAACUCAAAGGAAUUGACGGGGGCCCGCACAAGCGGUGGAGCAUGUGGUUUAAUUCGACGCAACGCGAAGAACCUUACCCAGGCUGGACAUGCAGGUAGUAGAAGGGUGAAAGCCCAACGAGGUAGCAAUACCAUCCUGCUCAGGUGCUGCAUGGCUGUCGU